rnacentral:misc_RNA from 1 species
AAAGUCGUAACAAGGUCUCCGUUGGUGAACCAGCGGAGGGAUCAUUACCGAAGUUACUCUUCAAAACCCAAUGUGAACCUUACCAACCUGCCGCGCUGUUUCCUCGGCGGUGGCGGUCGCCUCCCGGCCCGCCCCCGCCGGCAGUGCCACAAACUCUAUUUGCACAGCGUACUGUAUGCUCUGAUUUAUAUAAAAAACAAGUUAAAACUUUCAACAACGGAUCUCUUGGUUCUG